rnacentral:rRNA from 1 species
GGGGUGCUAUACAUGCAGUCGAGCGGACAGAAGGGAGCUUGCUCCCGGAUGUUAGCGGCGGACGGGUGAGUAACACGUGGGUAACCUGCCUGUAAGACUGGGAUAACUCCGGGAAACCGGAGCUAAUACCGGAUAGUUCCUUGAACCGCAGGUUCAAGGAUGAAAGACGGUUUCGGCUGUCACUUACAGAUGGACCCGCGGCGCAUAGCUAGUUGGUGAGGUAACGGCUCACCAAGGCGACGAUGCGUAGCCGACCUGAGAGGGUGAUCGGCCACACUGGGACUGAGACACGGCCCAGACUCCUACGGGAGGCAGCAGUAGGGAAUCUUCCGCAAUGGACGAAAGUCUGACGGAGCAACGCCGCGUGAGUGAUGAAGGUUUUCGGAUCGUAAAGCUCUGUUGUUAGGGAAGAACAAGUGCAAGAGUAACUGCUUGCACCUUGACGGUACCUAACCAGAAAGCCACGGCUAACUACGUGCCAGCAGCCGCGGUAAUACGUAGGUGGCAAGCGUUGUCCGGAAUUAUUGGGCGUAAAGGGCUCGCAGGCGGUUUCUUAAGUCUGAUGUGAAAGCCCCCGGCUCAACCGGGGAGGGUCAUUGGAAACUGGGAAACUUGAGUGCAGAAGAGGAGAGUGGAAUUCCACGUGUAGCGGUGAAAUGCGUAGAGAUGUGGAGGAACACCAGUGGCGAAGGCGACUCUCUGGUCUGUAACUGACGCUGAGGAGCGAAAGCGUGGGGAGCGAACAGGAUUAGA